UACGUAGGGUGCAAGCGUUGUCCGGAAUUAUUGGGCGUAAAGAGCUCGUAGGCGGCUUGUCACGUCGGAUGUGAAAAUCCAGGGCUCAACCCUGGACCUGCAUUCGAUACGGGCAGGCUAGAAUUCGGUAGGGGAGACUGGAAUUCCUGGUGUAGCGGUGAAAUGCGCAGAUAUCAGGAGGAACACCGGUGGCGAAGGCGGGUCUCUGGGCCGAUAUUGACGCUGAGGAGCGAAAGCGUGGGGAGCAAACAGG
rnacentral:rRNA from 1 species